CGCCUAACCCUUAUAGUUUUUCUAUGAGAUAUGGCAACAAAACCCACUACAGGACAGACAGCUCGUCAUCAGAGCACCUGUAGUGGGUCAUAUCCCGAAAGGGGUAUGGGUAGUCGAAAGAUUAUC
rnacentral:sRNA from 1 species